ensembl:snRNA U6 U6 spliceosomal RNA
UUGCUUCGGCAGCACAUAUACUAAAAAUUGGCAUGAAACAGAAGAUUAGCGUGGCCCCUGUGCAAGGAUGGCACGCAAAUUCAUGAAGUGUUCCAUAUUAAA